ACAUCUUAUGGUACUUGACUAUCACUUUUAUAAGCUUCUCCUUGGUUCUGGCGUUCAUAUGAAUAAAAGAGACAAACAUGUAUGAUUUAUAACUCCAAAUUAACCAACCCAACUGAUUCAGCAUCUUUAGUCCUUUAAUCUUUGUUCCUAGUACUACCUCCAUGAUCCCACACUCCUAAUCAUAUGAGCUAAAAUGUUGCACAUUCAAUAUUUGAGAAGAUAUAAAGAAAAAGACAUAUACAUAGAUAGAUUAUCUUUCCAUAAGGUUGAGCGAUCUGAUCUGACAAAUAUUUUAAAUACUACACUCAUGAACUUAUCACCCAUCAACUUUGUCUUGCUCCCUAUGCUUAAGGAUAGAGAAGAACAAAUAGUCUUUUGGUUCUGUUCGUGUUUUCCACCAAUAGGGCCCAUGCACUUGAUCUCUGUCUUGUCUCUAUGAGAAGGCAUACUUCGAGCAAAACAUGGAGGAGUUUUACAACUCCUAGAUUUCACCAAGUGAAUGACCUGGAUCUACGAGCACAAACACACUGAGCAGGAUGCUGCCAAUGCCGCACUUCGAACUGCUAGGCAAACGAAGAACAUGGGUGACACCAUAUCAACAAGUGCAGACAUCAAGGUUCACACCAAAAUCAAAUGACGCACCUAAAGAAUGAACACGGUGAGAAGUCUUGUUCAGAAGACUUAAAAUAUUGAACCCUCGCCGAAAGGUAAAAUCGGUAGUUAUCCAUAUUUAUCCUUUCUGCAUUCCCUUUUCCCUUAAAUUAUUUACAUUCCUUAAAUGGCUUGCUAGUUAGUCAUGCUAUCUUGAAAAGAAAAUAAAAAUGUUAAAAAUAGUAAGACCCAUGUGAGUAUGCUCGUGGCAUAAAACCCAUAAGUACAUUCACUGUGGUGGUGUAAAAAUAAAAUAAAUAUAUUCCUGUCCUAUAAAAAUGAAAAUAUAAAAAUAAAUUUAUGAUCCUACCAAACAGAGUAACAUUUAUUAAGGAGGCUCAACAUGAUAAUGGCUAGAUAUUUAUGCUAACACUUAACUAGUUCCACAAAGCUUUGUUGUCUAUUUGAGCUCCACAGACUUCAAGGAUUAAAGAAGACUAGCAGACGGAGGAUAUCCUAAUCACUGUUAGGGUGCUGCCGACAUUCAAAUACACCUCCACCACCUACUAGCUACAUCAGAAGAAAUUACGUCAAAAUCCAUCUUGGGGGAGAGCACCCCCAUUUAUCCAGCUAAGUGUUUCUACUCAUGUUUAUACUUUACUCAAAUAAUAAAAAGAUGCAUAAUCAUAAAAACCCAAAUAAAGAUUUUUGUGCUUAUAUGUAUAUCUUUGCUUAGUUUGCUAAAUAAAUAAAUAAAUAAAUGAAGUUUGCUAUGAACCCUCAUGAUAAGCUCUCACAUAGAAAAUGAUGAAUAGUUGCUCUACCAUGACUAGUUCUCAAAAUUGAAAUCUCUCUCAAGUUUAGGCAUGACUCUUAUGAAUUAAGAUUUGCUCUAAACCUGAACUUGUGGGAAGAGUACUUGAUCUAAAGUCUAAGUCGGUAACGGAUAUGAUAUGGGAAGGUUGAGCUGCUGUUUAUCUGUUCCUAGAGAUGCUAGAAUUCUGGAGAAUUUUAUCUUUGAAAAUCUUUAAAAUGUUGCAUGAUGAGUUCCUGUAUGAUGAGAGUUUAAAAUCCUACCACAGCCAUAUAUACAUGCUUAUUAGACUAUGAACCAUACAUUUACUUUUUACGGCUUAUGAGCAUUGAGUGUGGUCAAGCUAUGUAGACCCUUAGGAGCUUGUCCUGCGGUUAAAAUCAAGAUUCACUUGCACGUUCACUCAUACAUGCUGCUUCUACUCCGGAAGUACGCUUCCACAUACAUCCACUCAAUUCCAUCUCCAGAUUCACCCAAAAUUAUUCUACUCCUAUCGAGGAGAGAAUAGCCAAAAACAUUAUGCUAUCCCUGUUAUUUCCCGUGAAAUAAAUGCUCGAGAUAUUUUGGUUACUACCACUUGCUACAUUAUUCGAGGAGGGUGAGUGCUCUAAAAAAAGGAAAAAUACGAGGAAACAAAAAGGGGCAAGUGCCCGGAACCUCGAGGAAAAGAAAAAGUGAGACGAGAGGUAAAAAUAGACAAGUGUCCGACAGUAGAAUUAGGGGUACAAGAUACCCACCUGAGAGAAAAGAAAAAGAAAAUAUAGAGCAUCUGAUUCCCCUCAAAAAGCUUCAAAGUGCAAGAAAGGUAUGUAUCCCCUCAAAAGAGCAAAAGUAGAAUUAGACUUUCACCAUUGCUUUCACCAUUAUCACUAUCAUUCGCCACACAUGCACAUCUUAAUUUGACUUAUUGACUUGUUUCUCUAGAUCCAUGGUUUGACUAUGCAAUAAAUGUCUUAUAAGUAUGUAUUAGCUGUCUCCCACCAAUAAGCUCCAGAUAUCAAAACCCUAAAAAUACUACAUUCUUUGAGAGAAGGCAUAUACCAUCAC
rnacentral:lncRNA from 1 species